UACGUAGGGUGCAAGCGUUGUCCGGAAUUACUGGGCGUAAAGGGUGCGUAGGCGGCUUUUUAAGUUUGGUGUGAAAUCUCCCGGCUCAACUGGGAGGGUGCGGUGGAAACUGGGGUGCUUGAGUGUGGGAGAGGUAAGCGGAAUUCCUGGUGUAGCGGUGAAAUGCGUAGAUAUCAGGAGGAACACCGGUGGUGUAGACGGCUUACUGGACCACGACUGACACUGAGGCACGAAAGCGUGGGUAGCAAACAGG
rnacentral:rRNA from 1 species